rnacentral:rRNA from 1 species
UACGUAGGGUGCGAGCGUUGUCCGGAAUUACUGGGCGUAAAGAGCUCGUAGGUGGUUUGUCGCGUUGUCCGUGAAAACUCACAACUCAAUUGUGGGCGUGCGGGCGAUACGGGCAGACUGGAGUACUGCAGGGGAGACUGGAAUUCCUGGUGUAGCGGUGGAAUGCGCAGAUAUCAGGAGGAACACCGGUGGCGAAGGCAGGUCUCUGGGCAUUAACUGACGCUGAGGAGCGAAAGCAUGGGGGAGCGAACAGG